GGAAGGAUCAUUGAAUCUAUUGAAUCCACACGGUAACAUUCUGUAUCGCCGGCAACAGGGGCGCUGCAAAGGCCUUGUGCUUUUGCAGGUCUGUGCCUCUGGCUCCUAUGGGGGUCAAAGGCAGGCUGCCAGACUGGCCUUUUCAGGCCUACUGCUGCAGUUUCCCUGUUGUUGUGAGCACCCAACCCAAUACACACCAAACCAAAACAACUAAAGCUAAAGACUGUCAGCUAUGCUGGCAAUCCUAACAAAAGACAACUCUCAACAACGGAUAUCUUGGCUCUCGCAACGAUGAAGAACGCAGCGAAAUGCGAUACGUAGUGUGAAUUGCAGAAUUCCGUGAAUCAUCGAAUCUUUGAACGCAUAUUGCACCCAAGACUUCGGUCAAGGGUAUGUCUGCCUCAGCGUCGGUUUAUACCCUCACCCCAAUUCACAUAUGUGAACGGUGCACACGAAUCUCCAUUCGGUGCCUGGGCGUGGAUCUGGCUUUCCCAGCGCUGGCUUUGGCUAGAACUGGGUUUGCUGAAGAACAGAGGCUAGAGCUCGGACCCGUCAUGGGCUUCAACUGGAUAGGUAGCACCGGCUUUGCCGACUACACGAAGUUGUGGCCUGUGGUCCUUGCUGGCGGCCAGCAGGAAACGCGCUUUUGUGCGUCUCUAAACAUUCGACCUGAGCUCAGGCAAGGCUACUCCCUGAACUUAAGCAUAUCAUUAAGGGAAGGAAAAGAAAGUAACAACGAUGGCCCUAGUAAUGGCGAACGAACCGGCCAAAGCCCAAUCUGAAAAUCUCCCUUUGGAGAAUUGUAGUCUAUAGAAGUACCCUCUGUAGCGUGAUGAGCCCAAGUCCCCUGGAAAGGGGCGCCAGAGAGGGUGAGAACCCCGUAGGCUCUGACUCGCUGCUCCACGAGGUGCUUUCGGAGAGUCGGGUUGCUUGGGAAUGCAGCCCUAAUUUGGUGGUAAAUCCCACCUAAGGCUAAAUACUGGCGAGAGACCGAUAGCGAACAAGUACCGUGAGGGAAAGAUGAAAAGAACUUUGAAAAGAGAGUUAAAAAGUGCUUGAAAUUGUUGAGGGGGAAGCGAUUGGAGGCUAUAGGUGCGCCUAGGCUUACGCAUCCUUAACGGGCUGCUGCAUGUGCUAGGUGCUGGUCAGCAAGGGUUGGGCUGGAAGGAUAACAGUCGGGGUUGAUACCCGGCCUAUGCUUCCGGCCUGUCCAAGGCGUGAAGACUGCCCUUGUCCUUCGGGAACUGCAGUCUCAAGUUGCUGGCGGAAGGUUUCCAAUCGACCCGUCUUGAAACACGGACCAAGGAGUCUAACAUGUAUGCGAGUUGGUGGGUGGAAAACCCAUAAGCGCAAGUAACCUGACUGGUGGGAUGGCCUGUGCCUGCACCAUCGACCGACCAUGAGCUUCUGCGAAAGGUUUGAGUGCGAGCAUACACGUUGGGACCCGAAAGAUGGUGAACUAUGCCUGAGCAGGGCGAAGCCAGAGGAAACUCUGGUGGAGGCUCGUAGAUGUGCUGACGUGCAAAUCGCUUUUCGGACUUGGGUAUAGGGGCGAAAGACUAAUCGAACCAUCUAGUAGCUGGUUCCCUC
rnacentral:misc_RNA from 1 species